GGCCGCCUGGCGAAAUGGCAUCGCGUCUGACUACGAUGAUAUUUCGAGCUAUUCGGUUGUAAUCAGGAGAUUGCAGGUUCGACCCCUGCGGUGGUCA